rnacentral:lncRNA from 1 species
AGAUAUCCUGUUUGAUGAGAUGGCAUAAAAGUAAGCAUGACUGAAAAAACCUACCUGCUAGGCUCCUUGCAUCUCUUAUUUUCUUCCUGUUGUUGCAUUGCAUUUGUGGGUUUUAUUCUGUAUUUUAGGCUUUGGGGAAAUGCCCUGAGGUCUGGGAUAGCCAGGGGUGGUGGGACCAGCAGCUGGAUGAACACAGGUGCCUGCGAGCUGGUGAGAUCAGCAAAAUCUCAGAUUCAGAUCCUUGCACUCCCGAUGCUCCACCUGCUGCCACUUCACCACCAACUUCUGAAGAGCCUGGACCUUUCACAGCUCCAGCAUCACCCUCCUGUUCCUCUGACACCGGCACUGCAUCAUUUUCACCACCGUUACCCGCGUGUGUUGCAGCCUUACAUCCAAAACCUCCUCCUAUUUCACCAUCCACUUCUGCUGCCACUGUUCACUCUGGACUUCCUUCUCUCCCUGCCCCGCCUGCCUCUACUCCAUCCCUGCACCCUGGGAUUUAUCUGCCCGUUGUCCCACCCAGUGGUGCCACCCACCUCAUCAACUGGCUGCCCUUCCUCGCCUCAGCCACGCUUGCCACCAUCCAAGGCAAGGAGGAAGACCAGCCACCCAUAAGCACAGGCUCCCUGGAAGGCAUGAAGCCCUGCAGCAGCCCAGCCCCACACCCUUCCCAAGAGGAGAAUCCCCAGGCAGCAGCUCUGGGAAGCAGCGCUCCGGGGGCUGCGUCCCCACCACCAGCGGUGCCCGCGGGCUCCGAGGCGUCCGCGAACGUCAGCGACAUCCUGGCGGAGCUGCGGACCAUGAACAGCCACCUCUCCACCAUUGCCCGAGCCCUCACCCAGCUGGCAUCGUCCCUGGCACCCCAGCAGGAUGCUGGUGGCACCCCACCUCCUUAGUGCCAGGUUUCACAGGGAGUGGUGCUGCCCAGAGGAAAGGGACCCUCCCCAAACCUGCCCACGCCACUGGAGCAAGCUCGCUGCAGUCGCAGACGCCGACCACGUCUCCCCAGUGGGUUUUUCCUGUCAGUUUGUUUGUUUGCCCCUUGUAAAUGGCUGCAUAUAUUAAAAAAUAGUUUUGUGGUCUUGUUAAUAAAAUUGUUUAUGUUUCUGGCGUUCCUUUUGGA